AAAGGGUUGAAGUCUCCCUCCAGACUGCGGUGGGGCUGCGUGUUGAACUCUGUCUCGAAGGAGGAUAACUGCUGUGUGACGCCCAGCAGGCCUCCUUCUUCCACACUCAAGAUCACCCAGAUCACAUCUGUACAGCAAGAGGAAAGAGAACAGAUUUGGAGAAGUUUAGCAUUACAUCACUUGCUAACUAGUGGAUCCUCUGCAGUGAAUGGGUGCCGUCAGAAUUUGUUCUGAAGAUGUUGGCCUGAGGGUGAGU